UCACGGCCAUGUAACUGGCGCCUUGAGACAGAAUACUGUCGGGGAGCAUGGUCGCGACCGCCGCGCGCCUGGGCAUAACUU
rnacentral:ncRNA from 1 species